GACGAACGCUGGCGGCGUGCCUAAUACAUGCAAGUAGAACGCACAGUUUAUACCGUAGCUUGCUACACCAUAGACUGUGAGUUGCGAACGGGUGAGUAACGCGUAGGUAACCUGCCUGGUAGCGGGGGAUAACUAUUGGAAACGAUAGCUAAUACCGCAUAAUAUUAAUUAUUGCAUGAUAAUUAAUUGAAAGGUGCAAUUGCACCACUACCAGAUGGACCUGCGUUGUAUUAGCUAGUAGGUGAGGUAACGGCUCACCUAGGCGACGAUACAUAGCCGACCUGAGAGGGUGAUCGGCCACACUGGGACUGAGACACGGCCCAGACUCCUACGGGAGGCAGCAGUAGGGAACCUUCGGCAAUGGACGAAAGUCUGACCGAGCAACGCCGCGUGAGUGAAGAAGGUUGUCGGAUCGUAAAGCUCGGUUGUAAGAGAAGAACGGGUGUGAGAGUGGAAAGUUCACAAUGUGACGGUAUCUUACCAGAAAGGGACGGCUAACUACGUG
rnacentral:rRNA from 1 species